rnacentral:tRNA from 2 species
GCAGUCGUGGCCGAGUGGUUAAGGCGGUGGACUAGAAAUCCAUUGGGGUCUCCCCGCACAGGUUCGAAUCCUGACGACUGCG